rnacentral:rRNA from 1 species
UUAGUUUUUGAAGUAUGGCCUGCCCGCUGACUUUGGUGUUGAAGGGCCGCGGUAUUUUGACCGUGCAAAGGUAGCAUAGUCAUUAGUUCUUUAAUUGUGAUCUGGUAUGAAUGGCUUGACGAGGCAUGGGCUGUCUUAAUUUUGAAUUGUUUAUUGAAUUUGGUCUUUGAGUUAAAAUUCUUAGAUGUUUUUAUGGGACGAGAAGACCCUAUAGAGUUUAACAUUUAUUACGGUUCUUUUCUGUUUGUGAGGGUUCGCUGGGCCGUUUAGUAUGUUUCGUUGGGGUGAUGGGAGGGAUUUAUUUAACCCCUCCUUUGUGUUGUUAUAUUUAUUUAUAUUUAUUUGAUCCAUUUAUUUUGAUUGUAAGAUUAAAUUACCUUAGGGAUAACAGCGUUAUCCCCCUUGAGAGUUCUUAUCGGCAGGGGGGUUUGCGACCUCGAUGUUGGAUUAAGGUUUAUUUUCGGUGUAGGGGCUGGAAGUUAUUAGGUCUGUUCGACCUUUGAA